GACGAACGCUGGCGGCGUGCCUAAUACAUGCAAGUAGAACGCAGUUGCGAACGGGUGAGUAACGCGUAGGUAACUGCCUCAUAGCGGGGGAUAAAUAUUGGAAACGAUAGCUAAUACCGCAUACUGUGAGCUGGACCUGCGUUGUAUUAGCUAGUUGGUGAGGUAGACGCUCACCAAGGCGACUAUACAUAGCCGAACUGAGAGGGUGUGCGGCCACGCUGGGACUGAGAGACGGCCCAGAGUCCGACGGGAUGCAGCAGUAGGGAAUCUUCGGCGAUGGACGGAAGUCUGACCGAGCAACGCCGGGUGAUGGAGGAAGGUUUUCGGAUCGUAAAGCUCUGUUGUUAGAGAAGCGGUAAAUAAAGAGAAAGGGACGGCUAACUACGUGCCAGCAGCCGCGGUAAUAG
rnacentral:rRNA from 1 species